CAGCGCCACGAGUGGUAACCGCGAUUAUUGGGCCUAAAGCGUCCGUGGCCGGGUUGAUAAAUCCUUUGUGAAAUUGUGCGGCUCAACCGAACAACGUGCAAGGGACACUGUUAACCUCGAGACCGGGAGGAGUCAGAAGUAUUCCUGAGGGAGCGGUAAAAUGUUAUAAUCUCAGGAGGACUACCUGGGGCGAAGGCGUCUGACCAGAACGGAUCUGACGGUGAGGGACGAAAGCCAGGGGAGCGAACCGGAUUAGAUACCCGAGUAGUCC
rnacentral:rRNA from 1 species